ensembl:lncRNA
UGAGGACAGUUUCAAGGAUUUAAUUCGGUACAGGAUCAGGCAGGCAGAGAGCAAACAGUAAAGUCACCGACAGAGCCUGCUGCACCCUCCAUGAGCACUCAGGUGAUGGGGAGGAACAUCACUCUGGUGGGGACGCCGCUGUGCUGGUCAGACGCCCUGCUCUACUGCAGAGACUCUCACUGGGACCUGCUAAGCCUCUUGGGCCCAGAAGACCAGGAGAUGGUUGAUGAGCUGGUGGCUCGGACCCCCUUCCCACUAACCAGCCACCUCUGGGUGGGCCUGCGCAGGUCCCUCUCAGGAAGCUCCUGGUUUUGGAUGUCCGGUGACCCGAUGGACUUCAGCCAAUGGGACGACGGCUCACACCAUCCCUCCCCCUGUGGGGGCGUGUCCAGCGUGGAACCUUCCACAUGGAGGCAACGCUCCUGUGAAGAACAUCUUAACUUCAUCUGUUUCACAGGUCCAACAGAAGGAGUGAAUAAGUUGCGCUUCUAUAGUUCCACAAGAGAGGAUCAAACUCACUGCACCUAACUUGGCCUCAUUGGGGAAUAAAGUGGCUGAUUCCGAAGAUGUCCUAAGUAGAGUGAAGGUUCAGAAGCUUUAGCUCAGAGUGUCUGGUAGCUUGCUAGUUCUGCAUUUUGUCAUUUUAGGCUUUGUGACAGGCCAUAUUUUGUUCAAGCAUAGCAUAAAGGAUAUAUUUACUUUGUUAUCAAUUACCUUAUUUAUGAGCAGAUGUAGGACUGUCAUGCAUGGGUUCAAGAUGAAAACAGUAAACAUCGGUUUGGGGCUUCUCCACAGCCUCAAUUUGGGGUUGGGGGUUUGUGGAGUGAGUGUGGUGGAUGACUGGUUGAGGCAGCCUCACCUGGCCCGAGUCAGACUGAUUGGGCUCUGGGGCUGGCUGAGGCUGCACUCAGGGAGAUUACCUACAUUGCAAUAUGGAGCACUAUCUUCAUGUCUCAUUGUCUGCAAACUCUGCAAUAAACCGGCUUUAAACAUUAA